CUAAGGAGCUCACAGCGUAACACGGGAGACGCAUGGAUGUGAAACAUGCAGUUCUGAAGUCCUGCCAGCCACACCAAAGAGCUUUUCCCAAGAAGGCAUGGGUAGAGGCAGCUGUGCAGUGGGAGGAGUGUGGUGUUUUGGACGAAAUGUCUGUGACAGGCCUCCGUGGGGAGAUGAGACGGUGGGGUGAGUGAGCCCCUCCACCGCUACUCGAGAAGGCGCUCCAAUCUCAG